CCCUUAGAUGUUCUGGGCCGCACGCGCGCUACACUGUUCGACGCAGCGAGUCUUAACCUUGACCGAAAGGUUUGGGUAAUCUUCAGCAAAGUCGAACGUGAUGGGGAUCGAUCAUUGCAAUUAUUGAUCGUGAACGAGGAAUUCCUAGUAAGUGCAAGUCAUCAGCUUGCGCUGAUUACGUCCCUGCCCUUUGUACACACCGCCCGUCGCUCCUACCGAUUGAGUGAUCUGGUGAAUAAUUCGGACUGCAGCACUGCUUGGUCUCCAGGCUUUGCAGCGGAAAGUUUAGUGAACCUUAUCACUUAGAGGAAGGAGAAGUCGUAACA
rnacentral:rRNA from 1 species